GUUGCUGAUGAGUUGAAGUGUCAUGAUCCAGGAAAACUAAUCUGCAGUGCUCACCUCCACAUCAUGAUGAAGCUGAUCCUCUCUCUGACUCUCGUCUGGGCGCUCUCCAGCACAGCUGAAGCACUCAUGUGUCAAACUUGCACAGAUCAACAGUGUUCAAGUUCAGCCCUACUCCCAUGUACCUCAGAGACGAUGUGUAUAACAGCUUCCAUUCAAGCUGUUUCAUCUGGAACUCCAGCACAGCAAAUCCUCAAGUCGUGUGCAUCGUCCUCCCUGUGUCCAGCA